GGUAAUAUCACAUUUAAAUAACGGUUCUCGUACGACCUCCGUAGUUAAGGUAUAUCGAUCCAGGACAGUACCUAGAUGGGUGACCGCUUUGGAAUAUCAGGUGACGUAAG